rnacentral:rRNA from 1 species
CCUACGGGUGGCAGCAGUGAGGAAUAUUGGUCAAUGGGCUUACGCCUGAACCAGCCAAGUCGCGUGAGGGAAGACUGCCCUAUGGGUUGUAAACCUCUUUUGUCAGGGAGCAAUUGGCGCUACGUGUAGCGUUAUCGAGAGUACCUGAAGAAAAAGCAUCGGCUAACUCCGUGCCAGCAGCCGCGGUAAUACGGAGGAUGCGAGCGUUAUCCGGAUUUAUUGGGUUUAAAGGGUGCGUAGGUUGUUUUAUAAGUUAGCGGUGAAAUACCGAUGCUCAACAUCGGGGCUGCCGCUGAUACUGUAGGACUAGAGAUCGGAUGCAGCAGGCGGAAUGUGUAGUGUAGCGGGGAAAUGCAUAGAUAUUACACAGAACACCGAUUGCGAAGGCAGCUUGCUAGGCCGGAUCUGACACUGAUGCACGAAAGCGUGGGGAUCGAACAGGAUUAGAUACCCUUGUAGUA